rnacentral:rRNA from 1 species
UAACGAAUCUUCCGCAAUGCACGAAAGUGUGACGGAGCGACGCCGCGUGGAGGACGAAGCCCUUCGGGGUGUAAACUCCUGUCAGGGGUUACCAAGUUCUGAGGAGCCCCAGAGGAAGGCACGGCUAACUCUGUGCCAGCAGCCGCGGUAAGACAGAGGUGCCGAGCGUUAGGCGGAAUCACUGGGCUUAAAGCGUGUGUAGGCGGGUCGUUAAGUACCUUGUGAAAUCCCCCGGCUUAACCGGGGAACUGCUGGGUAUACUGGCGACCUUGAGCAAUCCAGGGGCGAGCGGAACAAGCGGUGGAGCGGUGAAAUGCGUAGAUAUCGCUUGGAACGCCGACGGUGAAAACAGCUCGCUGGGGAUUCGCUGACGCUGAGACACGAAAGCCAGGGGAGCAAACGGGAUUAGAUACCCCCGUAGUCC